GCCCGCAGACCUGGGCCUCGCACCUCGCGCCCGGAUGCCGCUCUCUCCCCGCGCGGUCACCCGUUCCCUGGGAAGCAGAGUGGGCAGCUGUGGCAGAUGGGACUGAUGGGACGAGGACGACGCGUGGAAAUGACUGUGAGGGUGGACAGAGGCCUGGGAACUCUGAACGGAGAAGGUGGAAAGGGCCUUCAGCGGAAGUCCAGGUUACUUACUAAAGCGGAAUGGAAGCCAACAGAUACCAGCGUUUAUAUUUUAUUCAACUUUAUUAAAAAUUAAAA